rnacentral:tRNA from 1 species
AUUUUUAUAGUUUAAAUAAAACAUUACAUUUUCAAUGUAAAAAUAAAAUUUAAUUUUUUUUUAAAUA